GCGGCCGUAGUCUAGCUUGGUUAGGACGGAGGCCUCCCAAGCCUCCAACCCGGGUUCGAAUCGGCAGACGGCUAUCGGAUGUCGAGAUAAUCCCGGCGGCCGCA
rnacentral:tRNA from 1 species